UACGUAGGGCGCAAGCGUUGUCCGGAAUUAUUGGGCGUAAAGAGCUCGUAGGCGGUUUGUCGCGUCUGCUGUGAAAACCUAAGGCUCAACCUUGGGCUUGCAGUGGGUACGGGCAGACUAGAGUGCGGUAGGGGUGACUGGAAUUCCUGGUGUAGCGGUGGAAUGCGCAGAUAUCAGGAGGAACACCGAUGGCGAAGGCAGAUCUCUGGGCCGUAACUGACGCUGAGGAAGCGAAAGGCAUGGGGAGCGAACCGG
rnacentral:rRNA from 1 species